UGUAGGAAGUUUGAAAGUUGUGCGCCGAGGGCCUACUGGGCUAUUGGCGAAAAAAGACAUACCUUUCCUGAUUAGAUUAUAAGGAAUUCCCCCGCGUGACGUCAUGCGAGUUAGCAGGGAGCCGGAAGCGCCAAGAUCUCAUUGUGAAGAAAAGAGGGGGGCACCUUCAAAGAUUCAGAUUUUUCUUUAUGUGAUGGGGAGACGUUGUGUUGCUGCGGGAUGCAGCAAUACUCACAAGGAAGGGGUAUCCGUGCAUUUGUUUCCGACAGAAAAAUCCUUGAAGACACAAUGGGCACGGUUUGUUAAACUGACAAGAGCUGACUUUACCCAACCAACUAGGAAUUAUGCUAUGUAAUGCGAAGUCCACUUUUCUGCAGAUUGUUAUGACCAAAAAUAUGACAUAAAAAAGGCAUUGGAUUUCACAGAAAAAUACAAAAAGCUUCUUCCGGGAUCCGUGCCAUCCAUUUAUCCAGCAAUAAACCAGGAAACAACCGAUAGUUCCCUUCCAAAGAAAGGAAAGAGAUCAGCUUACCACAAAAGAGAAGUCACUAGGAAUAUCUUAAAGUCAGUCGAUGUUCAAGCUACACCUCAAUGUAGGGAGAAAGGUCUAAAGAAAAAAAUGGCAUCAUUGUCAAAAGAAAAAGAAUGUGAAGAUGUGGGUUUGUGGACAAAAAGCAUCAUAAACCACCUCUAUUGGUCAGCUGGCUCCACUGAAGAUGGAGAUUGGAAUGUUAUGUGGGCAAAUUGAGAGUCAGUGUGUAACCAUGUUCAAAAUAUGUACACGAAGGGCAUAGUGAAUUUUUUCCAAAAUGUUGUCAUGAGGAUGGAUUGAAAAUAAAAUGGCUAAAACCAGGUACUAAAGCUUGUGAGAAGUUGACAGAUUUACUAACUACAAAUCAAGUAAAGAGAGAUGUCAAGAAACUUUAUCCGAUCUACCAAACAUCAAAUAUAGAAGCCUACCAUAGUGUCGUAAAUCAUUUUGCC